UACGUAGGGGGCAAGCGUUAUCCGGAUUUACUGGGUGUAAAGGGAGCGUAGACGGCAGUGCAAGUCCGGAGUGAAAGCCCACGGCCCAACCGUGGGACUGCUCUGGAAACUGUGCUGCUGGAGUGCGGGAGGGGCAGGCGGAAUUCCUAGUGUAGCGGUGAAAUGCGUAGAUAUUAGGAGGAACACCGGCGGCGAAGGCGGCCUGCUGGACCGUAACUGACGUUGAGGCUCGAAAGCGUGGGGAGCAAACA
rnacentral:rRNA from 1 species